UACAGAGGGGGCAAGCGUUGUUCAGAAUUACUGGGCGUAAAGGGCGCGUAGGCGGCCUGUUAAGUCGAACGUGAAAUCCCCGGGCUCAACCCGGGAACUGCGUCCGAUACUGGCAGGCUUGAAUUCGGGAGAGGGAUGCGGAAUUCCAGGUGUAGCGGUGAAAUGCGUAGAUAUCUGGAGGAACACCGGUGGCGAAGGCGGCAUCCUGGACCGAGAUUGACGCUGAGGCGCGAAAGCCAGGGGAGCAAACGGG
rnacentral:rRNA from 1 species